rnacentral:tRNA from 1 species
GGAGAGUUGGCAGAGUCCGGCUGAAUGCACCUGACUUGAAAUCAGACGUACACGAAAGUGUACCGGGGGUUCGAAUCCCUCACUCUCCG